rnacentral:tRNA from 1 species
UCUUCCAUAGUCUAGCGGUCAUGAUAUCCGCUUGUCACUGUAGCAAUGCAGCUAAGCGCGGAUGGCCCGGGUUCGACUCCCGGUGGGAGAG